GGGUGAAUGUCCGAACGGCUAAGGGACCGGUCUUGAAAACCGGCAAAGCGAAAGCUCUCAGGGUUCGAAUCCCUGUUCACCCGCCA
rnacentral:tRNA from 1 species